AGUGAACGCUGGCGGUAGGCCUAACACAUGCAAGUCGAACGGCAGCACAGUAAGAGCUUGCUCUUACGGGUGGCGAGUGGCGGACGGGUGAGGAAUACAUCGGAAUCUACUUUUUCGUGGGGGAUAACGUAGGGAAACUUACGCUCAUACCGCAUACGACCUACGGUUGAAAGCAGGGGAUCUUCGGACCUUGCGCGAUUGAAUGAGCCGAUGUCGGAUUAGCUAGUUGGCGGGGUAAAGGCCCACCAAGGCGACGAUCCGUAGCUGGUCUGAGAGGAUGAUCAGCCACACUGGAACUGAGACACGGUCCAGACUCCUAAGGGAGGCAGCAGUGGGGAAUAUUGGACAGUGGGCGCAAGCCUGAUCCAGCCAUACCGCGUGGGUGAAGAAGGCCUUCGGGUUGUAAAGCCCUUUUGUUGGGAAAGAAAAGCAGCAGGUUAAUACCCCGCUGUUCUGACGGUACCCAAAGAAUAAGCACCGGCUAACUUCGUG
rnacentral:rRNA from 1 species